UACAUGAGCACUUGUAAGCGUCUGAUUGAAGAUGAAGGAAAUACCAAAAAGUGAAACUACGCCUGAACAGUUGUUUUUGUAGAUAAGUAUUAGUGGUAUGGAAGUGACAAUAAAUCUAUUGUAUAAAUUACAUACGGGCAGAUCAUACAAAAAUGAUAACAACGCAAUAAUUAACACGAACCCAAAAAAAAAACCUUACCGAAGACCGAGUUGUUCAUGAGUUUGAAGAAGUUCUUCUCGAAAGCAGUCUUGGCUUGUUGUCGCAUUUUGGUGUUGAACUCAACGUAGGGUUUCAUGAAAGCCUCUUGUUGGAACUCUAAUACUUUAUGUAUUUUUUUCAAUUUUAGACGGAGUUGGAGAUACAGUUGCAGGUUGCGAUAGUGAAGUACAUAAUUCUGUUUGUUUUCUAAAGUGAUGAUGGUGUUCUUGCAGUGGAAGUUGGUGUUGAUGAUGGUGUUCUUGCAGUCGAAGAUGGUGUAGAUAAUUGACUGUAGUUGUGUUCAUUUUGAAGGUGCGGACUUGGAGAGAGCGGUGUUCUUGCAGUAGAAGAUGGUGUAGAUAGCUGACUGUAGCUGUGCUCGUUGUGAAGUGGUGAGAAGUCCUGUUGUAUGAUCUACAUUGCUUGUUGAAGAGGAGCUUUGGGUGUCGCUGCUUGGAGGUCGAAAGACAAUCAACGUCUGAGAGGGAAAUAUGUUGGUGCGCAAUUUAUACAACUUGUUUGAAUGUGGGCUUACAUCAACGACAGCAAGACUUUGCGAUCGACACUCUACUCUGUCAAAUGGAUAUUUAGCUGUGCUGUUUUUCAACAACUCUGCAUGAGCUACAAUAAGAGCUGGAUUGACUCUUACCUUCUUUGCUAUUCGCUUUUCGCUUGAUUUACAAUUUGCUGUGUGGGGGAAGUCACGUUCAAUGUCAAGUCGCUGCUCUCUGCGGAAGCCUUAUGAGAUCAUCCGGGGAUAUCGCCAUAUUGAAAACCCGCCAGAGGUUCGGUCCACGUCCAUGGUGCUCGGGAUGAGUCAUUGGAGGACGAAGAUCGGGUGUCCUUAUGCUGCCAUGAAAUGUCGUUUUUAUGAUGUCCAAUUAUGUUCAAAAAUAAACAACUUGGAGAAUGUG